AGUGAACGCUGGCGGUAGGCCUAACACAUGCAAGUCGAACGGCAGCACAGUAAGAGCUUGCGCUUACGGGUGGCGAGUGGCGGACGGGUGAGGAAUACAUCGGAAUCUACUUUUUCGUGGGGGAUAACGUAGGGAAACUUACGCUAAUACCGCAUAUGACCUACGGGUGAAAGCAGGGGAUCUUCGGACCUUUCGCGAUUGAAUGAGCCGAUGUCGGAUUAGCUAGUUGGCGGGGUAAAGGCCCACCAAGGCGACGAUCCGUAGCUGGUCUGAGAGGAUGAUCAGCCACCCUGGAACUGAGACACGGUCAAGACUCCUACGGGAGGCAGCAGUGGGGAAUAUUGGACAAUGGGCGCAAGCCUGAUACAGCCAUACCGCGUGGGUGACGAAGGCCUUCGGGUUGUAAAGCCCUUUUGUUGGGAAAGAAAAGCAGCAGGUUAAUACCCCGCUGUUCUGACGGUACCCAAAGAAUAAGCACCGGCUAACUUCGUG
rnacentral:rRNA from 1 species